rnacentral:rRNA from 1 species
AUGGAGCCAAUAAGAAGCGGCGAUGGAUCCGGCGAGCUCAUCGGGAUCGGAUCCGGGAAGCGGAAGGGGGUCGGAUCCGGGAAACGCAAGGGGAUCAUAUCAGGGAAGCGCACGGGCAUCUCCUCAGAAACGCUGAAUUUGCUCCUCACGGAGGCGUUGAAAACCAGGGUAAAGAAUCAGAUAUCGAGUCGGUUGAGGAAUAUCGACGGCCAAGGCGAGCGGAUCCAGGCGCUGCAGGAGUUUCAAACCUGGAUCAUGCAUCAACAGUCGAGCAUAGACGCACCGAUGCAGACCGAGAAGAGCGAGGGAAUCGAAGAUCUGGGCACUCUGGUCGACACUCUCGCCGGAGAGAUAUCGAGUUCGAUGGUGGCGAAAUUUGUGAAACAGGAAGAGAAGCCCGUUUGCGCGUUAGAUUCGUGCUCCGAGGAGAUCCGUGAUCUGUGGAAAAACUUCCCAAGAUACGAGCACGAUCUCGCCCUUCUCUCCAAAGUGCAGUCAAUCUCUGCAAGUAUCGAUAUGCUUCGGAGGCUGGAACCGGAGCUUGACACAGAGAACUGA